AAUAUACCAGAGUUCAUCAACACACAAAACAUCAGUGUUCUUCUUCUCCGAGGGAAUAAUUUAACAGGCAGCAUUCCCCACCAGUUGUGUGGCCUAAGAAACAUCCAACUUCUGGAUCUUGCCAACAACAGAUUGAAUGGAUCCAUACCUUCAUGUCUCAGCAAUACAUCAUUUGUUUUUGGGAAAGAAUGUACAUCAUAUGAUUAUGAUUUCGGCAUUUCUUUCCCUUCAGAUGUCUUCAGCGGUUUUUAUCUGCAACAAGACUUGUCUUCCACAAAAAACGUCAAAUCUCUGCUCAUGCUUGAUCCGUUUAGUAUGGACUACAAGGCAAUCACACAGACGAAAAUUUCUUUUGCAACAAAACACCGAUACGAUGCCUACAUGGGUGGAAAUCUCAAAUUACUGUAUGGAUUGGAUCUCUCAGAAAACGAGCUGAGCGGUGAGAUUCCGGUUGAGUUUGGAGAUCUUCUGGAACUAAGAGCUUUCAAUCUUUCUCACAACAAGUUAUCAGGAGUGAUACCAGAAACCUUUUCAGGUAUGAAGAAUGUGGAAAGUCUUGAUCUUUCUUUCAACAGAUUACAUGGCCGGAUCCCAACACAACUAACAGAGCUGAGCAGCCUUUUGGUCUUCAAGGUCUCGUACAACAACUUAUCAGGAGUCAUUCCACAGGGAAAACAGUUUAACACCUUCGAUACACAAAGCUUCGAAGGUAAUCAACUUCUCUGUGGACAACCAACAAGCAGAAGCUGUAACAUUGAUAAUACCUUUCAAGAACCAGACGAUGAAGUGGAAGCUGAUGAAUCCGCAAUCGACAUGGAAUCUUUCUACUGGAGUUUCGCUGCAGCGUAUGUGACAAUACUUGAUGGAAUAUUCGCAUUGCUCUCAUUUGAUUCUCUUUGGAGAAGAUUGUGGUUCUACAUCGUUGAUGCUUUCAUCUACAAGGUGAGGAAUCAGUUGUGGUAAAAUCAGCAUCGUUGAUGAUUUCAUCUACCAUAGAUGCAGUCUUUAUGGUAUCUUUCCCCAAGAGUUUUGCUAUAGCUUAUGUGACACCAUAGUGCUGGGAAUACUCAGCUUCACUCCCUUUUGAUUCUCUUUGGAGCAGAGCUUGGUUUAGUGUUGUUAAGGCUUUUAUCCAUAAGAUGAAAGCUUUCUUAUCCUAAAUUACAGUGGUUAAGAGUGUAAGCUGGUCUCUUGAAAGUAUAUAAUCAUUUGUUGUGACAAUUCCGUUCUGAUAUACUUGUAAUUUGUUCUUCAGCUCGACGAUCAGUACUUCCUGAUUCUUAAUCGCUUUUUUUUUUUAACUCUGUUACAGAAUAUCCAUUAUUGGUCAUUAACCAAUAAAUCCUAUUUGGCUACCUACUUUUUUAACCCUUGAAUUAUUAUUACGUGGUAUAUAAGCUUGAGGGAAAAAAAUUGCUUUUAAACUUGGCUUUAAACAAGCUACCAAUUUGUGAAAAAGGCACGUUUACUAUGUAACAAAACCUUACCAACCGUGUCUCGUAGAACCCAUGCAACUCCUCCCUACUUCUUUUGUUUGGAGAAGGAAAAUCCGAUGUUGCAUUUUAACCAGUUCAUUGGAGAAAAUGUACUUUUUUCCUUGGCUUUGCUUCUCGUUUAAUUUAGGCGUUUUGGGUUAUUGUAAGAUUCUAUAACAUUCGAUAAAAUCUAGAUGACCAAAAAAAAAAAAGCUCGAGGGAAAAAAUAUAUAUUCCAAUAUUUUCCAUAUUAUCAUCCUUUAACUCUAUUGCUAAGCAAUUUCCUGUGACUUAUGGUCGAAGUAAAAGAUGCUGACCGCACAAUUUCUACGGAGACCUUGACUUAAAAAAUGAUGCCAAACGAAUCUAAGCUUAUCAUACGACUCAAAGUAAACGCCAGACCACAGUGGUCACUCAUGCCCCGACGACUGGGACCUGAAUUGACUUUGUAAGUGUGCAAUUAUUUCCUUGAAUUUGGUGUAUUCCUCUGGAAAUUUAAAGAACCCUUGUAAAUGUGGACAAGUCACUUUGGAUUAUCAAUCAUUUGCUUUUUUUUUUCCGGUUUAUUUGCAAUGGAAGGGAAGGUGUUCUUGGGAAAAUACUUGAUAUGACUGAUGUUACUGUUGGGGCAGCUACAUGGAUACCAAAGCUGUGUUGAGAAAGAAAGGAAUGCUUUGCUGCAGCUCAAGAAUUACUUUGUCUCAAUUACUCGAGAAGUUUUCGUAGACGAUGUUCUCCCUACUUGGACUAAUGACACAAAGAGCAAUUGCUGCGGCUGGGAUGGCCUUAGGUGCAAUCUUACAAGCGGACGGGUGACCGAGAUUGCCCUUUCUGGCACCUAUCCCUUUCUGACAAUCUUAAAAGAGAAUUCUCUCCUUAAUCUUUCGUUGCUACAUCCUUUUGAAGAUGUUCGAAGUCUGAACUUCUCCGGGCACCUUCUCAGUGGCUUGUUUGAUGACGUUGAAGGUAUACCAGGCUUUCCCUAGUAGUUAGCUUUUAAUAUUCUGUUUUUCAUUGGAACUUUCAUGUUUUCUCUCCUUUAGGGAUCUACUUCUCUGAAGAACCUAUAUGGACUAGAUCUUUGUUCAUUGUUUCUAGUUCUUGAAAGUUAUUGUUUCUCGUUGCAGGUUGUAAAAGCUUGAGGAGAUUAAGAAACCUGGAGAUUCUGGAUCUCUCUUAUAAUGAAUUCAACAACAGUAUCUUUCCCUUUCUUAACGCUGCUACAUCACUCACAACUCUUUUUCUUAGGGGCAACAACAUGGUUGACCCUUUUCCUGUUAAAGGUAUGUUUUACCAUUUGUAUAUAUAUAGCAUGUCCUAAUUCUUUUAGGGACGAUGUAUCAUUCUUAUAUUUGUUGGACUCCAUUUCAGAACUCAAAGAUUUGACAAACUUGGAACUGCUGGACCUGAGUGAAAACAGAUACAACGGCUCCAUACUAGUACGAGGUAGUCCAUAAAUGCUUGCUUUCUUACAACAUUUGUUGGAUUGGUUUGCCUCGUCCUUGAGAUGAACAUAUCCAUAUUUUGUUACCUUUGUCUGUGGCAGAGAUAACUUCGCUCAGAAAGCUGAAAGCUCUGGAUCUAAGUGGUAAUGAAUUUUCGGGUUCAAUGGAUUUGCAAGGCAAGUUUGCUAAAAUAUUAUUUCGUUAUGGAAGUCGUGUCUUUGUAUUGAUACAUAGAGCUCUGUUAUAUAUUCAGAGUGAGCUGUACAAGUAAGGUAAUAUAAUAUACAAUAGUAAUGAAGGCAUAAUCAGAGGGAUUCUAACGUAAACACUAACGUAUACUUUCUAUGAAUACUAUAUUUCCUAUACACCCCUCAAGACGGACGUGGAGAUGCAAGUCCGAUCUUGACUGUAAGUAACUCAAACCGAGCUCUUGAUAACGCUUUUGUGAGUGCAUCAGCCAACUGAUCCUGCAAAGAAACAUGAGAGACCCGAAGCUGACCUGACUGAAUAUAGUUUCGAACGAAAUGGUAAUCCAAGGCCAAAUGCUUCAUACGUGAGUGAAAGACAGGAUUUGCGGCUAAGUACGUCGCACCAAUAUUUUCACAAUAAAUCACCGGAGACGUAUUGUUGUUAACCCCAAGCUCAGAUAAUAACGAUUGGAUCCAGAUAACUUCCGCUGUGGUGGAAGCAAGUGAUCGGUAUUCCGCCUCUGUGGAUGAACGAGCUACACCAGUUUGCUUCUUUGAUGACCAUGCGAUGGGAUGACGUCCGAGAUAAACAAUGUAUGCACCAGUGGAUGUGUAAUCAUCUUUGUUUCCAGUCCAGUCUGCGUCGGUGAAAGCAUGUAGAGCUGUAGUGUUCUUGGCAUGAAGGAAAAUUCCCUUCGUCGUUGUGCCCGCAAGAUAGCGAAGGAUUCUUUUAACGGCGUUCCAGUGCUCUGUGGUUGGUUUAUGCAUGUAUUGAGAGAGCUUGUUUACAGGAAACGAGAUAUCAGGGCGUGUAAGCGAGAGGUAUUGUAAGCUCCCAACAACCAUGCGAUAUUCUGUUGGAUCCUCCAAAGGUGUACCCGAAGUCAGUGUGAGAGUCAAGUUCGGACACAUUGGUGUUGUCACCGGUUUGCAGUUUUCCAUCUUUGUCCGGUGUAACAAAUCUGCAAUAAAACGAGUUUGUGUCAGAUGCAUCCCGGUUUCAUUGCGAUGAACUUCAAUACCAAGAAAGAAAGAGAGAUCUUCAAGGUCCUUUAGUGAAAACCAUUUUGACAAUGAUGCAAUAAAACGAUUUGUAUAUGAACUAUUAUUGCCUGUGAUAACUAAAUCAUCAACAUAAACAAGCAUAUAAAUUAAAACUCCCUGUUUGUUGUAGAUAAAUAGUGAUGCAUCGGCCAAAGAAUUUGAGAAGCCAGACUGUAAGAGAAAGCUACGCAGCUCAUUGUACCAAGCUCGCGGGGCUUGUUUUAAACUAUAAAUAGCCUUUCGUAAGCGACAGACAGCGAGUGGAUUAUCUUUGUCGACAAAACCUGGAGGUUGCAUCAUGUAGACUUUAUCAGAAAAAGUCCCUUGAAGGAAUGCAUUGUUAACAUCAAGUUGACGAAUAGGCCAAUUUUGUGUGACAGCAACACUAAGAACGGUCCUUAUUGUGGCUGGUUUAACAACAGGACUAAACGUGUCAUGAUAAUCUAUCCCUGGCCUUUGCGUGAAUCCUCUUGCAACCAGACGAGCCUUAUAACGAGCAAUUGUUCCAUCGGGAUUUCGUUUAAUGGUGAAGAUCCACUUGCAACCUACAACAUUAAAACGAGAGUCAGUAGAUAAAUUUUCAAGAUCCCAAGUUCUAUGGCCGAUUUGAGCAUUAUACUCCUCACUCAUGGCUUUUUGCCAAUGAGGACUCUUAAGUGCUUGUGCCACCGAGGUUGGAGGUUUCUCCAUUGUUUGUGUGACGGAAGUGUGAAGAUUUAACUUCUGCACUGGUUUCCUUUGUCUCGUGCUUUGCCGCACAGGAGGUGGAAGAACAGGUGUAGGAGCUGUGACGGUGAUGACAGGUGAAACGGCCUGAGAUGAAAGUUGAUAAGCCGUUGGCUGAGACUGGUCUGUUGAAGCUUCCGCGUUCUUCUCAGGUGAAGUCUGUAAAGACUCCUCUGUCGGAGCUGUUGUGUGAGCUGAUGAUGACGGAGUUUGCGCAAUUGUUGGUGACGAGUUAACUGGUGUCGUUGUUGUUGUAACAGGGGAUACAUUUUCCUGAGUUGGUACCUGUACUGAAACGGAAGGAGAGAAAACUGGAACAACAGAAACAGACGGUUGGCUAACAUCGUUAGAUUCAUUAGACUCUUGCAAUUCUAAGUUGGAUGAAAGUGCAAAAGGAAAAACCGAUUCAUGAAACACUACAUGUCUAGAUGUGUAAAUCCUUGAUGUAGUACGAUCUAAACAAAAAUAUGCACUUUGCGUGUUGGAAUACCCUAUGAAAACACAUGGAGUUGAUCUUGCGUCUAAUUUAUUUGAUGCAUACGGCCUAAGCCACGGAAAACACAAGCAUCCAAAUAUUUUUAAUUUUGAAAGUUUGGACUAUAUCCAUGAAGACGCUGAAAAGGAUUUCCAUAAUUAAGAACUUGUGAUGGCAUUCUAUUGAUUAAAUAAACUGCCGUUGCAAACGCAUACGUCCAGAAUGACCUAGGCAUAGAUGCAUGAGAAAGCAGAGCAAGCCCUGUUUCUACAAUAUGUCGGUGACGACGUUCUGCAAUGCCAUUAUGCUCAGGCGUAUGCGGUGGACUUGUCAUGUGAGAAAUACCAUUACGUGAAAGAAAUUCUCGUAAACCAAUGUAUUCACCCCCAUUAUCCGUAUAUAAAGUUCUAAGCUUGCUUUGAAAUCGAUUUUAAACCAAUACUUUGAACCGGGUAAAUAUCUCAAAGACCUGAGAUUUUAAUUUCAAUGGAUAAAACCAAGUGUAUCUAAUGUAAUGAUCUACAAAUAUCACAUAAUAUUUGAAACCAUCAACUGAAUGUAUUGGAGAUGUCCAAACAUCGAAAAACACUAUAUCAAGAGGCUGAAUAGAUUGUAAAGACGAAUUUUGAAAAGGUAACUUAUGCAUUUUAUUAAUCGAACAUGCAUUGCAAGGCUGAGCCAUUAAAGCAUUGGAAACAAUUGGUAAUUGAAAUUAAGAAACUACUUUUUGAAGAAUUGGAAAUGCAGGGUGUCCUAAACGAGAAUGCCAAGCAGAUAAACUAGUUUGAACUUUAGAAGCAAAUGCUAAUGAGGGUGGUUUUGCCGAAUUUGUUUUCGGCCACUCAUACGUCCCAUCUUUAGGUUUCCCUUCUAGACGUAGAGCUCCCGUUUGCAAAUCCCUCACCUGAAAAUAUGUUGGAGUAAACGUAACAGCUACGCCAUUAGUAGAACAUAAUUGAAACACAGAAAUCAAGUUCUUGUCAAGUGCAGGAACACAUAAGACAUUAUUUAAAAAGAAUGGACGGGUAUAAGAGGGAAGAGAUAAAGAACCAGAGUGUGAGAUGUGCAAACCAGAACCAUCACCAAGAACCCCAUCACCUCCUUCAUAUAGAUUAUGCAUGGAGAGAUUGGCCAAGUCUGAUGUCAUGUGGUGAGAGGCUCCAGAAUCCACCAGCCAAGUCGACGAAUCUGAGAGCAUAGCUGGAUUAGCACUCGGCUGCCAUGUCUGAAAUUGAGUAGCCGCAUUCCAUGCAUUGUUGUUUCGCUGUUGGUGUUGCCUCUGUGGUGUCUGUGAUGGUCCUUUGACAAUUCGAAAGUCAGGACAGUACUUCGCACUAUGACCUUGUAUCCCACAUGCUUGACAACGUUCCAAAUACGGUGUGGAGAAACGUUACUGGUUGUUGAAUUGCUGUGGACGAGCUUGAUUAUGAUUUUAAUUGUUGGUGCUGUUGUUGUGCCAUUGUUGACGGGGACGAGUAUCAGUAGCAUUAGCCACGAUUGGAGUAACCGCCGUGGAGCUGUUGCACAUAAUCAUUGCUUCACGAUUAAGGAGACGUUCAUACAGCUCAGCAUAAGAGAUGGUAGAGUCACGCCCAUGAAUAGCAUCGAUCUCUGGUUUGUAAUCUUCACUAAGACCAGCCAAAAUCUUCUCCGUAAAGUCAUCAGCAUCCAUGGGUUUCCCAAGGAGAGCAAGAUCAUCAAAUUUAGAUUUCAUGUGACGAAGAUAUUCACUAAUCGUCUUUGUACCUUUAACGCCGGUGUCGAUCUGGUGCUUCAGCUGACGAACAUGGCCACGAGACCCAGAUCCAAAGGUAGUAGCCAAUAUGGACCACGCCUCUUUGGUUGUAUUGGCACUGGAGACCACUGACUGAACCGGCAUGGAGAUCGCACCAAUGAGCGAGCUAUAAAGCAAACGAUCUUGACGUUUCCAUGGAACAUACGCAGGAUUGGUUGACGAAACUCUAUUCUGUGUCACCGUCGGUGUCGGAGCAGCUCCGGUGUCCUCAAUGAAAUGUUGUAACUCAUGUCCUUCAAGUAAGGCACGUACUUGUUUACUCCACAUAAGAUAGUUGAGAUUGGUGAGUUUUGUGAUACCCGACAUAUUGAUGGAAAGAAGCGUGCUUUGUGGAUCUUGAGCAUUAAAAACAGAGGUACGAUCUGCUGUGGAUUCAGAAGCCAUGAUGAUAAGAAGAAGAAACACGAAAUAGAGAAGAAAAGUUUGGACGAAGAAGAAAAGAGAACGAAGAAGAAGAAGACAAGAGAAGAGAAGAUGCGGCGGUGAAAAAAAAAUUGUAGGUUCAAAGACCUAAAAGUGCUCUGAUCCAUAUUAGGUUAUGGAAGUCGUGUCUUUGUAUUGAUACAUAGAGCUCUGUUAUAUACCCAGAGUAAGCUGUACAACUAAGGUAAUAUAAUAUACAAUAGUAAUGAAGGCAUAAUCAGAGGGAUUCUAACAUAAACACUAACGUAUACUUUCUAUAAAUACUAUAUUUCCUAUAAAUAUUUCACUUUUUCACACUAAAACAGUAAAAAAAAACAAAAAACAAAGGUUGUGGUUGAAUUCACCUUAAUGUAAGUGACUAAUUUUUUUUGCAUCUGAUUACCGUAGGGAUAUGCAAAUUGAAGAAUAUGCAAGAGCUCGAUCUCAGUCGCAACAAACUUGUAGGUCAGUUUCCCUUAUGUUUAACUAGCUUGACUGGACUUCGAGUUCUUGAUCUCUCAUCAAACCAGUUGACUGGGGAGAUCCCAUCUGCUCUCGGUAACUUUGAAUCCCUUGAGUAUUUAUCAUUGUUAGAUAACGACUUUGAAGGCUUCUUCUCAUUUGGUUGGCUCGUCAAACUCUCAGAGCUUAAAGUGUUGAAACUUGGCUCAAAAUCCAACUCGUUUCAAGUAGAUUCUAAGAGUUCUUGGAAACCAAAAUUUCGGUUGAAUGCUAUUGUACUACGAUCUUGCAACUUGGAAAUAGUUCCUCGUUUUCUCCUACAGCAGAAAGGUUUGCGUCUUGUUGAUCUCUCACACAAUAAAAUUUCUGGAAACUUUCCUUGUUGGCUAUUGGCGAACAAUACAGAGCUCAGAGUUUUGCUUCUGCAGAAUAAUAUUCUUACGAGCUUUCAGCUACCGGAAUCUGCUCAUGAUCUACGUUCCCUUGACGUGUCAGUCAAUGAAUUCAAUCAUAUGUUUCCUGAGAACAUUGGGUUGAUACUUCCACAUUUACGGUAUAUGAAUAUAUCGAAGAACGCCUUUCAAGGAAAUCUGCCAUCUUCUCUGGGUAACAUGAUUGGGAUUGAAACUCUGGAUGUAUCUCACAACAGUUUCCAGGGAAAGCUACCAAGAAGCUUAGUAAAGGGUUGUUAUAACUUGGCUUACUUGAAGUUGUCACAUAACAAACUAAGUGGAGAGGUUUUUCCAGAAUCAGCAGAGUUAUAUGAUUUACGUUGGCUGUAUAUGGAUAACAAUCAGUUUACAGGAAAUAUUGGACAAGGUUUGCAGAACUUGACAUUUUUGCAUAUCCUUGAUAUAUCGAAUAACAAUCUCACGGGUGUUAUUCCAAGCUGGGUUGGCGAACUUCCAAGGUUAUAUGCAAUACUGCUUUCAAACAACUCGUUGGAAGGUGAAAUACCUACGUCGUUGUUCAACAAAACUUUUCUUCUGCUAUUGGACCUCUCUGCAAACAGUUUAUCUGGGGGAUUACCUCCACACGUCGAUUCUACAAGGCCGGUAAUAUUGCUCCUGCAAGACAAUCAUCUAUCAGGAGAUAUUCCAGACACAUUUCUAGGACAUGUCAGCAUACUUGAUCUGAGAAACAACAGAUUGUCUGGGAAUAUACCGGAGUUCAUCAACACCCAAAGCAUCAGUGUUCUUCUUCUCCGAGGGAAUAAUUUAACAGGACGCAUUCCUCGCCAGUUGUGUGGCCUAAGAAACAUCCAACUUCUGGAUCUUGCCAACAACAGAUUGAAUGGAUCCAUACCUUCAUGUCUCAGCAAUACAUCAUUUGCUUUGGGGAAAGAGGAUGAUGGAUUCGAUGGUUAUGGUUUCAUUUAUGGUACAAUUAGUGAUUAUUAUGAUGAUGUCGAUAUAUAUUUCAAACCUCUUCUUGAGCUAGCUCCGCUUUCUUCGCAAAUCGUGGUAGCCACCCAGACGAAAGUUGAAUUUGCAACAAAACAUCGAUACGAUGCCUACAUGACGCGUGGAAUUCUCAAAUAUCUGUUUGGGCUAGAUCUCUCUGAAAAUGAGCUAAGCGGUGAGAUUCCAAUAGAGCUUGGAGGUCUUCUGGAGAUACAAGCUCUCAAUCUUUCUCACAACAACUUAUCAGGAGUGAUACCAGAAAGCUUUUCAGGUCUGAACAAUGUGGAAAGUCUUGAUCUUUCCUUCAACAGAUUACAAGGCCGGAUCCCAUCAAGACUAGCAGAUCUGAGCAGCCUAGCUGUGUUCAAUGUCUCUUACAACAACUUAUCAGGAGCCAUUCCACAGGGGAGACAGUUCAACACUUUUGAUUCGCCAAGCUACUUAGGUAAUCCUCUUCUCUGUGGGAAACCAACCAGCAGAAGCUGCGACGGUAACACCAUUCAAGCACCAGAUAAUGUAGCGAGAGAUGAAGAAAGCACAAUCGACAUGGUUUCUUUCUACUGGAGUUUUGCAGCAGCCUACGUUACAAUACUUCUUGGAGUACUUGCAUCUCUCUCUUUUGAUUCUCCUUGGAGUAGGUUUUGGUUCUACAAGGUUGAUGUUUUCAUCCACAAGGCGAGGAAUUUGUUGUGGUAAACCAUUAUUGGUGACAAAUUCUUAUAUUGUCCCCAUCUGUUUCUAUUCUUCACAAGACCUCCUGCUUUGUGUAGCCAACCAGAACAUUACUUGUGUUUGGUUCCUAUGUACUGUCUUUGUCAUUGUCUAUGAAUAAAUGGAUUGUCUCAAACAUUUCUUUGUUCCUGAGUAGCUUAGUGGUUGGUUUACUAAAAAAUCCCCAGAAAUCAGGAACUUGCAGAGAACAAUUUUAAGGUAGAAAAAGAGUGCAGACCCAAGAAUGAAAUAAAUACAGAGAAUUUUCCAUUAUACCGCUUUACUCAUUUUAUUUCAGGUAACCGUCUCAAGAAUUUUCCAUUAUACCGCUUUACUAAUUCAUUAUCCUGUUGUAGAAUACAAAUGAGUAAAAUGAGCAUAUGAAUCAGCAGAGAAAUAGAAAGACCAGAGAGAAACAUAGAACGUAGCUAAAGAAUUAGAGAAAGAAAAGCAACCACUCGUAUAUAAUUUAGUCACUGUUCAACAGACGUAGCUAGUUGUCAGCUAAUAGAGUUCUUCGCCUUCCUGAUUGCCAGCAGACGACCAGUUAUUCACCGGCUCGUUGUAGAGAAGCUUCUGCAUAUCCAAUACCAAUCCUGAGAUUUCUUCACUGAAUCUAGGAGAAAACCUUAUUGAACGGUUCAGAUACUUUUCUCCCUCAAGGAUCUCGAGAAUGGACCUUUGUAAUGAUCAGAAAGCUUGCCUGAUCUAAGAUCAACAUUAGAAUUCUGCAUCACACGCUCUCACUAUCUACUGAAAGACUAUGAACCUCUUUCCGCUUUUGCCUAGAUUUCAGCGAGAAACAGAGUAUCGAGGUGCAUCUUUGGUUAGAACUCUAAAGGACUCAUUAAAAUCAACAGGAGCAGGUUGAUACUAACCAUAAGGCCUCAGAGAUCCUCUCUUCUGCUGCGUCUAACUACUUUCUCUCUUGGCAUAGGAGUCUUAAUUGAAAGCCCUCUAGCUCAUCAUAGCAUCGCUUGCAGCUGUAGGAGAAUUUUUUUUAAAAAUGCUAUCAGUCAUAGAUGAGGUCAACGCCCAUUCUCUUCGCUAAUUGCAAUUUCCAUUAACUGCAACAAACACAUACAAAGAACACCCAGUAACGAAUCGAGAGAAACACUGAAGAAGAAACUGCAAGUAAAACUUAAAUUAAUCACAUUUGGAUGAAAAUCCACGACACAGCUCAGACUAAGUAAGUAAUGAUAGCCAUAUCGAGAAUAUUUGGAUUUGGGUCUUGAAUCUGUUUUUUCCUUGUAUCUUCUCCUCGUCGAUGGGCUCUUGUCCCUUGCUAGUGGAAUAUCUACCCAACUUUUAUUUCGAGUCAAGAAAAUAUUUAUUUACCAAGCAACCCCUCAGCGAAAACUUGCAAAUAAAACCUUUCUCAACACACUAACACAUGAAAGAAAAGAAAAAAACAAAAACUCCAAAAAAAGGCGAUAUGAAACAGUAAAACCUGAGUAAUCGAUAGAUCCGAUCCAGAAGCUAACCUAGAGCUCGGGGAACAGUAAACCUAAGCCUAGAAGAAGACCACGGAGGAAGAAGGGUCUUCUCGGAGGUCAAAGAUCAAUGGUGGAUUGAAGAUUUAGAUGAUGACAGAGUUUAGAGGAAGAAGAUGAUUUUGAUAUUCUGAUUGAUUCUCAUAUUUGGCCAAAGAGCCUUACAUAUAGUGAUUAAAGUUUUAUGAACCGGAAUUACAAACCGUAAUUAAUAUAACUACUAAACCAAGAUAAACCAGAGGAUAUGGAAUAAUCCUGUAACAAUACUCCCUCGUCGACAACAUCCUUGUCCUCAAGGAUGACAAGUUGGAAGCUCCUUGAUGAUUUUGAUGGAACGUCAAUGCAACUUGGUCUGGAGGAUGCACUUUCCAAUGGACAAAGACCGUGAUGAAUGCUUUGUUGUGGUGGUUAACCUUCUUCUUGGCACUGUUUUCAACAAACGGGGAUUGUAGCAGAAGUAUAGCAGUAGUGGUGGAGGUCGGAUAGAAGAAAUAGCAUUUCUCAGUUGUUACCUCUAGCUUCGGGACUAAUCCACUAAGCCACUCAAAACCAUGCUUGAUCCUCAUAAUGUAAAGCAUAGCAACACAGAGCAUAUAACUGAAAAUGUGUGCAUUAUCCAACGUCAUUUUACCAGAGAUCAAUAAGUCCUCAAAAUUGUCGGCUUCUGUCUUGAAAUGAAGGUAUAAUUGCAGAACCGUAACAGAGAUUAUAGAGGCAGGAAAGCCAUCGAUAGAAUGAGCAAUGUAGAGUGUUCCAGAAUGUGUAUGACCAGAUUCACAAUCACAAUUUAUGGCUCGGUUCCAUAUAUCAAUCAACCAAGUGAAGUAGUCCAGACCUGAAGAACUUGGGGGUUCAGUACUAAACUGCUUCAAAUCGUUGUAGUGUGUCCAAAAUUCAGGAUGCAGCAGCUUGUGGUUCUUGAGGAAUAAGAGCUUGGGGUCCUUCUCGAGCUUACCCAACCUCUGAAAGCUCUUCUUUAUUGUCUUGAAAUCUGGAGGUCGUGGCAGUGAACCAUAGAGUAACUUAAGUGAUGUGCUGUAGAAACCAACAGCUUUAAGCCUCAUGAAAUCGCCAUCUCCAUAGUCACUGACCAGAUAAGAGAGCUGGUGUGUGUUUUCAUCUAGACUCACGAACUCUUCUUCACCUCUACGGUCAACUUGAUUAAUCUCAAGUUCACAAAUAUAUCCAUCAGCUGUACCAACCUCACGUUCUUUUGUUACCAAAACUAAUAUGACCUUACCAUCCUUUAAGAAAUCGUUCUUUCUCUUCUUAGCAUCAGCUUCAACGCUCUUCAAAACAGUGGCGUGUAAGCCAUCAAAUAGAUGAAAUGUAGGAAUUAACCAGCAACAUUCCAGCAACACCACCAUUUUAAACUUAGAUCUCCAUUUGUGCUUCAAAUGGAACUUCAUACGAGCAAAAGUAAGCUGUCUCAAGCCUACAACUAGCAGUGUUCUGUUUCUUAGCAAAUCAGGCACGUUAAAAACUUCAUCAUGACCAGCGUGACCCUUAGCUUCAGAUAUAAGCCCAACAAGUAUUCUCAAUACACCAUUCCUUCUGCGAGACUGAAACUCGAACGGUUCCAGUAACACACGUUCUGAUCCCUUUUUAUUUCCGGCUUCAAUGUUCAUCAGCGCAUGCUUUCCUUUAUCAUAAACCAACCGUGACUGCAUCUUUUCACUUGCAACUAAAGGCUCCUCACCAGGUGUUUUUCCUCCAACGAUAUCAACAUACAUCGAUUCCAGCGGUAAAUAAGCUUUGUAGUACGAGUAUAUUGAGCCAAACUUCUCCAAUAAGACUUUGUUAUUCUCGCCUAUUCCAUCUAGAAGCAACUGGUUAUCUUCGUCCAAAGGCAGAGAUAUGACCUUUGAGGAAGUUACAAGAAUUACAACUCCAUGUUUCAACAAAAGAGUGGUUCCAUCUGUCGAUUUAUGUGCCUCUGAGUUGCCUUUGAACUUGUAUUUCCAAGUCUUUGACCACUUCUGCUUCCUCUUUCUAGUUCUCAGCAAAACUUUAAGCAUCUGAUCUGCGCAAUCCAACUUUGUAACAACAGAAAACUUCUGAGGCAUCUCAACCUCUCUUGGAACAUAACCAAUUUGUUCCACCACAGCACUCACGUAAUCGACAACCUCUUGGGUUUCUAUGUCCAUAAUCGAUGAUUCUGGAGUUAACUCAGUCACUUUACCAUAGCCCCACAAUAUACUAGACAGCCUGUGCAUUAACCUCAUCGAUUUACCAUCUUUGUAACAUUUUUCUAACCCUUUCCACUUAUCAUGUUCAGUCGCUAUUCCACCAGGUUCCCACAUUCUAUUAUUCCAAGAUGAAACGAGUUUCAUCACCUUGUUUUGCUCAUGUUCAUCCUCUUUUUCGUCUUCUUCAUAAAGAGGCUUGAGCUCCUCUAGAUCCCAAUUCACCACUUGCAUCUGAGGAUAUAGAGACGUUUCAAACUGAUGUGAUUCUUGGUGUGACUUCGAUUCUUUCUCUGGCCAGUCCCAAAAAUCCAGAGUAGCCGGUAAACCACCUGGCUCCCAUACAUGACCAGUCUUAUGUGAGAACAAGAGCUUAUCAUUUGAUGAACUGAUCAGCAUUGUUGAAUCCUCCUGAUACUUCUCUGAUAAGGAGAGAUCAACGUGAGAUCUAAAUUUGGCAGAAAUCGCUUGAGAGUGCUUGCCCUCCAAGUGUUCGGCGUUUUGCCCGAGAGGUGGAUUCCUCUUUUCUUCAGCUACAGUUUUUGGAUGAUCGUCUUCCCGAUUCAACUCAACAGAAUCCUGCAAAACUGGGACAAACCCCAACGAUUUCAUAGAUGAAUCUGUCUCAACAUGUGGUUCGACGAACUCAUUAUCAGCAGAAAGUUGAUCAUCUUCACAGUCUACCAUGAAAAUCUUUGAUUUUCUGUGCUUUGACUGAAAGUGACCACGGGUAUCAAGCUCAUCACAAAACAAACACAACCCAUUUUCCAUUCUCGCAUACACCUGCUCACAUGAAUACGUCCGAUGAGUCUUGUUCGUGGUGAUCGUGCCCGCCAUUGUUUGUUUUUUUUUUUUUUUUUUUUAUUAGUUGCGUCCGAAGCUCGUUGGCUCUGAUACCAAUGAAACAGUAAAACCUGAGUAACCGAUAGAUCCGAUCCAGAAGCUCACCUAGAGCUCGGGGAACGGUAAACCUAAGCCUAGAAGAAGACCACGGAGGAAGAAGGGUCUUCUCGGAGGUCAAAGAUCAAUGGUGGAUUGAAGAUUUAGAUGAUGACAGAGUUUAGAGGAAGAAGAUGAUUUUGAUAUUCUGAUUGAUUCUCAUAUUUGGCCAAAGAGCCUUACAUAUAGUGAUUAAAGUUUUAUGAACCGGAAUUACAAACUGUAAUUAAUAUAACUACUAAACCAAGAUAAACCAGAGGAUAUGGAAUAAUCCUGUAACACGAUACGAAUUAAUAUCUGUUCCACAAGGCAUAUUCUCUUACAGUAAAAGUCGAGACGGCUCUUACUCUUGGCUAUCCACCGCCGUAUAUCGGGCGGCGACGAUGGCAGCGUCUGCAUUGGUAUAGCGUUUGGCGUCUGGCGAUUGGCGAUUGGCGAUUGGCGAUUGGCGUAUGGCGAUAGGCGAAGGAAAAUUAAGGGGUUUUCGCUGACUCGCUAAAUGAUGUGAAACGACGGCGUUUCUAUUUUGGGGGUAACGGCCCCCUUCUUUCUGACGUGGCCGGCUUAGAGAGGCACAUCAGCAACUCAGUUACCGUUGGAGUGUUUUAGGUCCUUUCUUUGGCAGAGUUUAAAGGUUAGGCCUUUUUAUUUUAAUAUUAAAAUCGCAUCAUUCUUUUACGGAAGAUCAAUUAUUUAGCUGAAUAAUUCAACGGACUUACAUUGCUAAACAGAUCAACAUGUACAAGGAAUAUAUAUAUAACUAGGACUAAGUAAAAGAUUUGCGACCAAAGUGGAAAUUGUCUUUACUACUGAUACAAGAAUUAGUAUUUUUUACUCUUUUUUAUUCUUUAGUUUAUUUCUUGUAAUAUAUAGUUUUACGUGUGAGGACUGAGACCCUGUAUAGUAUUUAUCUAUCUAUUAAAACGGUUGAAAUAUAUCAUGUCAUCUUUUGUUUUUUUACUCAUGUUCCCCUUCACAUUGCACUUAAAUAAUAGAAACCAGCUAUCGCAGACUCUAAAUUACAUUCUUGAGUAUUAGGCACUUUGUCGUGGCUAAGGCAUACAAUAUUUCUUCGUUAGUUGUGCGUAAAGCUUCGUUGAAGUUGAUAAUGCUCAGCACGCCACAAGUAUGUCAUGUGAUAUGAGUAUUUUUCCACAGAUUGACUUUGUAAAUAUAUUUUCUUAUUCAACUUAGUUUUUCAAUUCCUUUUUGUCAAACAGCAUUUUUAGUGCUUCUAAACAUGGAUAUAUUUGGGUAACAAUCUAAUUUUUAAGUUUCUAGUUGUUUUAUUUUUGGCUCAAACCAAUGGAAGAGAAGGUGUUCUUGGGUAAAAACCUGAUUUGGGUGAUAUUAUUGUUGGGACAGCUACAUGGAUGUAAAAGCUGUAUUCAGAUAGAAAGGAAAGCUUUGUUCGAGCUCAAGAAAUACAUAAUUUCUUGGAGUAUAGAAGAGGAAUCCAACUCUGUUCUUCCUACUUGGACUAACGACACAAAGAGUCAUUGCUACCGUUGGAAGGGUGUUGAGUGCAAACGUACAAGCGGACGGGUUAUCGGGAUUUCCAUUGGUGAGAUGAUCUUUGAAGAGAGUUGUCUCCUAAAUCUUUCUUUGCUGCAUCCCUUUGAAGAGAUUCGAAGUUUGAACUUAUCCGGGGAAACGUUCAACUCUUUCAAUGGCUUCUUUGAUGAUGUUGAAGGUAUACCAGGCUCUUUCACAGUGCUCAGUUUACCCUUUUUGGUCUCUAUUUGAAAGCAUAUAUAUCUUAUUUCUUUGUUCUAGUUCUUGAAAGUUAGUACUGUUUAAAACUAUGGUACUUAUAUUUUCGGCUGCAUCAAAAGGCUACCUUGCAUUUAGAGUAGACGAAAAAAUACUAUUGAAGUGAUUAGAAUCAGCAAUCUUUUUUUUGUACACUUUGUUAACAAGAUUCUCGUUUGUAGGCUAUAAAAGCUUUAGGAAAUUAGGAAACCUGGAGAUUCUGGAUCUCUCUCAAAAUGCAUUCAACAUCAGCAUAUUUUCUUUCCUUAAUGCUGCUACAUCACUUACAACUCUUUUUCUUCGGCAAAACCAUUUGGAUGGCCCUUUCCCUGCUAAAGGUCUGUUUUCCACUUUGUAACAAGGUGUUUGCCUAGCAAACCCUAAUUAUUGAUGAUGUAUCUUUGGUUAGGACGUUUGAUUUUUGUAUUGCAGUCUGUAUAAUUUUAUAUGUCCUAGCAAUUCUUAUCAUUCUCAUGUAUUCUCAUGGACUCCCUUUCAGAACUAAAAAACUUGACAAACUUGGAACUGCUGGAUCUGAGUGGAAACCGGUAUAACGGCUCCAUGCCAGGUAGCAUCUAUGUCAAUUGUCACUGUUUUUUUCUUCAGAGUAGAACUUUAACAAAUUUAACUAGAAACUUCAUUGACUCUUUACCUCUUGAGUAUUGCCUAUCCAGCACAACCUACUUCUUGAUGAUGUAUAUAUUGUUUGACUUUUGUAUUGCAGUCUCUGUGAUUUUCCAUGUAUUAAUUGCAGUUCUUAUGCAGAAAAUUAAUUAUCAUCAUUUCCAUAUAUAUAUUGUUUGACUUUUGUAUUGCAGUCUCUGUGAUUUUUUUUUUCCCCAGAAUUUCAUUCAUUCUUAUGCAGAAAAUUAAUUAUCAACUGAAUUACUCAACGAGCUUUACGUUGCUAAAAAGAUUAACAUACAAGGAAUAUUUACGUAACUAAGGCUAAGUAAUAGUUUAAUCCGUCUUCUUAUCUUUAGUUUAAUUCUAUUCUCCUAAAUAUAGUUUUGUUUGUCAAGAAUCCCAAAGGUUGGAGGAUUGACCCUGCCUAACAUUCAUCUCUCUCGCUUGAGCUUAAAAACUUGACAAGCUUGGAACUGUUGGACCUGAUUAAAAACGAAUUUAAUGGCUCCAUACCAGUACAGAGUAGUGUCAACGUUAUUGUGACUGUCUAUAGAUUCUUACUAUAGAUGCAGUCUUUAUGGUAUCUUUCCCCAAGAGUUUUGCUAUAGCUUAUGUGACACCAUAGUGCUGAGAAUACUCAUUCUCCUUGGAGCAGAGCUUUUAUCCAGAAGACGAAAACUUUCUUAUCCCAAAUUACAGUGGUGAAGAGUGUAAACUGGUCUCUUGAGAGUAUAUAAUCAUUUGUUGUAACAAUUCCGUUCUGAUAUACUUGUAAUUUGUUCUUCAGCUUGGCGAUCUAUGUGGCUAAAUAUGAAACCCAGAAGAUACGCUAGCUUGUCCUCUGUUAGAAGCUUAUAAGCUUGCAAAAUGAUUUAUAAAUUAUAUACAGUAUAUAGUUUGGCUACCUACUUUAUAAACCCUUGAAUUAUUACGUGGUAUAUAAGCUUGAGGGAAAAAAAUUGCUUUUAAACUUGGCUUUAAACAAGCUACCAAUUUGUGAAAAAAACACGUUUACUAUGUAACAAAACCUUACCAACCGUAUCUCGUAGAACCCAUGCAACUCCUCCCUACUUCUUCUGUUUGGAGAAGGAGAAUCCGAUGUUGCAUUUUAACCAGUUCAUUGGAGAAAAUGUACCUUUUUCUUAUGGCUUUGCUUCUCGUUUAAUUUAGGCGUUUUGGGUUAUUGUAAGAUUCUAUAACAUUCGAUAAAAAUCUAGAUGACCAAAAAAAAAAAAAAAACUUGAGGGAAAAAAUAUAUAUUCCAAUAUUUCCAUAUUAUCAUCCUUUCACUCUAUUGCUAAGCAAUUUCCUGUGACUUAAAAGCAUUUUGGUCGAAGUAAAAGAUGCUGACCGCACAAUUUCUACGGAGACCUUGACUUAAAAAUGCCACACGAAUCUCUAAGCUUAUCAUACGAUUCAAAGUAAACGAUAGACGACAGUGAUCACUCAUGCUCCGACUGGGACCUGAAUUGACUUUGUAAGUGUGCAAUUAUUUCCUUGAAUUUGGUGUAUUCCUCUGGAAAUUUAAAGAAUCCUUGUAAAUUUGGACAAGUCAUUUUGGAUUAUCUUUCAUUUGCUUUUAUUUUUCGUUUUAUUUGCAAUGGAAGGGAAGGUGUUCUGGGGAAAAUACUUGAUAUGUGUGAUGUUACUGUUGGGGCAGCUACAUGGAUACCAAAGCUGUGUUGAGAAAGAAAGGAAUGCUUUGCUGCAGCUCAAGAAAUACUUAGUCUCAAUUACUCGAGAAGUUUUUGUAGACGAUGUUCUCCCUACUUGGACUAAUGACACAAAGAGCAAUUGCUGCGGGUGGGAUGGCCUUAGGUGCAAUCUUACAAGCGGACGGGUGACCGAGAUUGCCUUUGACUUGAACUCCAAAGACAAUUCUCUCUUUAAUCUUUCGUUGCUACAUCCUUUUGAAGAUGUUCGAAGUCUGAACUUCUCCGGGUCCUUUCUCAGGGGCUUGUUUGAUGACGUUGAAGGUAUACCAGGCUUUCCCUAGUAGUUAGCUUUUAAUAUUCUGUUUUUCAUUGGAACUUUCAUGUUUUCUCUCCUUUAGGGAUCUACUUCUCUGAAGAACCUAUAUGGACUAGAUCUUUGCUCAUUGUUUCUAAUUCUUGAAAGUUAAUUAUAUAUUGUUUCUCGUUGCAGGUUAUAAAAGCUUGAGGAGAUUAAGAAACCUGGAGAUUCUGGAUCUCUCCUGGAAUAAUUUCAACAACAGCAUCUUUCCCUUACUUAACGCUGCUACAUCACUCACAACUCUGUUUCUUAGGGGCAACAACAUGGUUGACCCUUUUCCUGUUAAAGGUAUGUUUUACCAUUUGUAUAUAUAUAGCAUGUCCUAAUUCUUUUAGGGACGAUGUAUCAUUCUUAUAUUUGUUGGACUCCAUUUCAGAACUCAAAGAUUUGACAAACUUGGAACUGCUGGACCUGAGUGAAAACAGUUAUAACGGCUCCAUACCAGUACGAGGUAGUUCAUAAAUGCUUGCCUUUCUUUUCAAGGGCUAUGCUUUCUUACAACAUUUGUUGGAUUGGUUUGCCUCGUCCUUGAGAUGAACAUAUCCAUAAUUUGUUAUCUUUGUCUGUGGCAGAGAUAACUUCGCUCAGGAAGCUGAAAGCUCUGGAUCUAAGUGAUAAUGAAUUUUCGGGUUCAAUGGAUUUGCAAGGCAAGUUUGCUCAUAUACAAUUUCACUUUUUCAUAUUAAAACAAGAAACAAAAACAAAAAACAAAGGUGAAUUCACGAUAAUCAAAGUGACUAAACUUUUUGCAUCUGAUUACCGUAGGGAUAUGCAAAUUGAAGAAUAUGCAAGAGCUCGAUCUCAGUCACAACAAACUUGUAGGUCAGUUUCCCUUAUGUUUAACUAGCUUGACUGGACUUCGAGUUCUUGAUCUCUCAUCAAACCAGUUGACUGGGGAGAUCCCAUCUGCUCUCGGUAACCUUGAAUCCCUUGAGUACUUGUCGUUGUUAGAUAACGACUUCGAUGGCUUCUUCUUACUUGAUUGGCUCGCCAAACUCUCAGAGCUUAAAGUGUUGAAACUUGGCUCAAAAUCCAACUCUUUUCAAGUAGAUUCUAAGAGUUCUUGGAAACCAAAAUUUCGGUUGAAUGCUAUUGUCCUACGAUCUUGCAACUUGGAAAUAGUUCCUCGUUUUCUCCUACAGCAGAAAGGUUUGAAUUAUGUUGAUCUCUCCGACAAUAAAAUUUCUGAAAACUUUCCUUUUUGGCUAUUGGCGAACAAUACAGAGCUCGAAGUUUUGCUUCUGAAGAAUAAUAUUCUUACGAGCUUUCAGCUACCGGAAUCUGCUCAUGAUCUACGUUCCCUUGACGUGUCAGUCAAUGAAUUCAAUCAUAUGUUUCCUGAGAACAUUGGGUUGAUACUUCCACAUUUACGGUAUAUGAAUAUAUCGAAGAACGGCUUUCAAGGAAAUCUGCCAUCUUCUCUGGGUAACAUGAGUAGGAUUGACACUCUGGAUGUAUCUCACAACAGUUUCCAGGGAAAGCUACCAAGAAGCUUAGUAAAGGGUUGUUAUAACUUGGCUUACUUGAAGUUGUCACAUAACAAACUAAGUGGAGAGGUUUUUCCAGAAUCAGCAGAGUUAUAUGAUUUACGUUGGCUGUAUAUGGAUAACAAUCAGUUUACAGGAAAUAUUGGACAAGGUUUGCAGAACUUGACAUUUUUGCAUAUCCUUGAUAUAUCGAAUAACAAUCUCACGGGUGUUAUUCCAAGCUGGGUUGGCGAACUUCCAAGGUUAUAUGCAAUACUGCUUUCAAACAACUCGUUGGAAGGUGAAAUACCUACGUCGUUGUUCAACAAAACUUUUCUUCUGCUAUUGGACCUCUCUGCAAACAGUUUAUCUGGGGGAUUACCUCCACACGUCGAUUCUACAUUGCCGGUAAUAUUGCUCCUGCAAGACAAUCAUCUAUCAGGAGAUAUUCCAGACACAUUGCUGGCAAAUGUCAGCAUACUUGAUCUGAGAAACAACAGAUUGUCUGGGAAUAUACCGGAGUUCAUCAACACCCAAAGCAUCAGUGUUCUUCUUCUCCGAGGGAAUAAUUUAACAGGUCAUGUUCCUCGUCAGUUGUGUGGCCUAAGAAACAUCCAACUUCUGGAUCUUGCCAACAACAGAUUGAAUGGAUCCAUACCUUCAUGUCUCAGCAAUACAUCAUUUGGUUUGGGGAAAGAGGAUAAUGCAUUUCACGUUUCUAAUCUCGAUCUAGGUAUAGAGCGUGUUUAUGAUGAUCCCGAUAGAUAUUUCAAACCUCUUCUUAUUGAGCUAGAUCCG
rnacentral:lncRNA from 1 species